rnacentral:rRNA from 1 species
UACGUAGGGCGCAAGCGUUGUCCGGAAUUAUUGGGCGUAAAGAGCUCGUAGGCGGUCUGUUGCGUCCGCUGUGAAAACUCGGGGCUUAACCCCGAGCCUGCAGUGGAUACGGGCAGACUAGAGGUAGGUAGGGGGAGAAUGGAAUUCCCGGUGUAGCGGUGAAAUGCGCAGAUAUCGGGAGGAACACCGGUGGCGAAGGCGGUUCUCGGGGCCUUAC